CUUUCCCCUUGUCUAAUGGGAGCCAAAGAAUGAUGUUUUAAUGCUCAGCUUCUAGAUGAAAUAUGUAUUAGCAAACUAUUCUAGGCCUUUAUAUUCCUUUAUUUUUGUUUUCAAAAAUUCCCAUGACAAUAUUCUGGCAUCCAUGCCACAUGAGGAUACAUUUCGUGCCAAAACAAGCUUAGGAAAUCUGCAGUUUAAAGGAGGAAGGUAUGCUGCAGCUGAGAGCAGACGCUUCUAAGGCAUCUUGGGAAGGUUGCAUCUGCAGUCUCAAGAAAUAUUAAAACCUAUUUUAAUGUAGGCAUUGUUCCUGAGAGUAGCUUCAAUAAGCCACGUGGAUGCAAUUAUCCAGCUCAGGGGUUGUUUCUUAUGGAAUCCAACCUAUGACUGUUGACGCCAGGAGUGGUCCUGGGAAGGAGACUCUGAAAAUUUUGGAGCUGGCUGGGAAUAAGAGUCCUGUUGCUGUUGAUAUCUGAGAGCAACCUUCUGCCAGGAUUUGCCCUGCCCACAGGCGUUAGCAUGGACUUGAUGACUGCGGUGUGGCUUUUACUUUCUCAAUUUUCCAGAGCUCAUACUCCUCAAACUCCAGAGGAAUAAGAUUUCUUUUUCUCUGGAAAUGUCUACUGAAUACAGAAAUGAACACACUGAAAUAUUUUCAUGCAUUGCCUCAGAGGAAGGGUGACCGAAGGAGAGCUCGAGAAACGGAAAGAGAAUGAGAACAGAGAGAGAUAAAGAAAAGCAUACAAAAUAUUUAUUGCUGCAUUUCCGUGCCUUCUCCACAAUAUUGAGGCCUGAAUUAGGUAGGUAGUUGAAAUCUCUCUAAAAGUGAGUCAGAUAUUGUGUCCGGAAUUGGUGGGUUCUUGAUCGCACUGACUUCAAGAAUGAAGCCGUGGACCCUCGCGGUGAGUGUUACAGCUCUUAAGGUGGCGCGUCUGGAGUCUGCCCCUUCUGAUGUUCAGAUGUGUUCGGAGUUUCUUUCUUCUGGUGGGUUCGUGGUCUCUCUGGCUCAGGAGUGAAGCUGCAGAUCUUCGCGGUGAGUGUUACAGCUCUUAAGGUAGCGUGUCUGGAGUUGUUCAUUUCUCCCUGUGGGCUCGUGGUCUUGCUGGGCUCAGGAGUGAAGCUGUAGAUCUUCGCAGUAAGUGUUACAGCUCAUAAAAGCAGCAUAGACCCAGAGUGAGCAGUAGCAAGAUUUAUUGCAAAGAGCGAAAGAACAAAGCUUCCACAGUGUGGAAGGGGACCCGAGCGGGUUGCCAAUGCUGGCUCGGGCAGCCUGUUUUUAUUCUUAUCUGGCCCCACCCACAUCCUGCUGAUUGGUAGAGCCGAGU
rnacentral:lncRNA from 10 species